rnacentral:rRNA from 1 species
UACGUAGGGUGCAAGCGUUAUCCGGAAUUAUUGGGCGUAAGGAGCUCGUAGGCGGUUUGUCGCGUCUGCUGUUAAAACCGGAGGCUCAACCUCCGGCCUGCAGUGGGUACGGGCAAACUAGAGUGCGGUAGGGGAGAUUGGAAUUCCUGGUGUAGCGGUGGAAUGCGCAGAUAUCAGGAGGAACACCGGUGGCGAAGGCGGGAUCCUGGGCCAGUACUGACGCUGAGGAGCGAAAGCGUGGGGAGCAAACAGG